rnacentral:rRNA from 1 species
UACGGAGGGAGCUAGCGUUGUUCGGAAUUACUGGGCGUAAAGCGUGCGCAGGCGGUUUUGUAAGACUGUCGUGAAAUCCCCGGGCUUAACCUGGGAAUGGCGAUGGUGACUGCAAGGCUAGAGUUUGGCAGAGGGGGGUAGAAUUCCACGUGUAGCAGUGAAAUGCGUAGAGAUGUGGAGGAACACCGAUGGCGAAGGCAGCCCCCUGGGUCAAAACUGACGCUCAUGCACGAAAGCGUGGGGAGCAAACAGG